GAUUACAGUGUCAAAAGAUAUUCUCCACGUCAUGCUUGCAUGUAAGUGGAGGUAUACCUUAUUGACCCGCCCCACAUGAGCAAGAAGUGGGGCGGGGGCCCCAUGGAUUGCGAAUGCGGGGCAGGAUUGUGGGAGUGCGUAGCACGAAACAAUCCGU
rnacentral:sRNA from 1 species